AGUUCGGAUCUAGCUUUAGCCUAAGGGUUAAAUUAGUUUCGAAUUGAAUUCAAAAUAUGAUAAUUUUCAAAUUAAGUUCAAACUUCAUGUUAUUGAUAUUAACUUAAGUUCAUCUCUAACUGAGUUUUGUUUUGUUUGGGUUCAGCCCAGCAUGUGACCCUAAUUAGAGAUGCCAAAAAUGGUGCACUAAAGUCAGCUACCUUUCCCUAUUGGAGAUUGCUCCUACUCUUCAUCCUGAUCCAAACCUCUCUUUUUGGCCAUUAGAAAUGGGAAGGGGUAAAAGUAACCAAUAAAACAACACCAUCACUUGUUCCUCAUCCAUUAUUUGCUUAUGUUCUUCCUUCAUUCAGGAGCUGACGAUGGGGGAGACUACAGAGUUCCUUUCCAGUUGGGUUCUCAAGUUGCAAAUUUGGUAUUCUGGGUACUCCAAGCUUCAGGUCUUUGCCCAUCACAACAUGGUCUGAUGCAAAAAGCAAAUGGUGACAUGAGAUGUAUAAGAGUGAACUACAAUGAAAAACAGAGCCAUGCAUACCAAGUUCAUCAUCCUGCUGUUCAGAUUCUCUUGUUGUGGUUGUAGGCACCCAGCUGUCGCCAAGUGCUUCGGGCCUUGAAAGAAGAACCUGGGAACAAGUGCUCUCAGGGGGAUCAGCUAAUUGGUCCCAUGGUGACGUGGGUUUGGGACUUUCAACUUCUACUGCCCUCUUCGUCCAUGAGCUCUGCAAAAGGAGAAUGUUAGUGUGCAUAUGGAUUUCUAAGUUUACUUAGUUCUGGGCCUGUAUUUUAACCUAUUUUUCUCUCACAUAGAAGCAUGCCUGCAAACACCAAUGUGAGCACACAGAUUCAGAAAAAUACAUGCUUACCUACAUUUGAAUGAAGACAAAGGUAAGCUUAGUUCA